UGGGGAAUUUUGGACAAUGGGGGAAACCCUGCUCCAGCCAUCCCGCGUGUGCGAUGAAGGCCUUCGGGUUGUAAAGCACUUUUGGCAGGAAAGAAACGUCAUGGGUUAAUACCCCGUGAAACUGACGGUACCUGCAGAAUAAGCACCGGCUACCUACGUGCCAGCAGCCGCGGUAAUACGUAGGGUGCAAGCGUUAAUCGGAAUUACUGGGCGUAAAGCGUGCGCAGGCGGUUCGGAAAGAAAGAUGUGAAAUCCCAGAGCUCAACUUUGGAACUGCAUUUUUAACUACCGGGCUAGAGUGUGUCAGAGGGAGGUGGAAUUCCGCGGGUAGCAGUGAAAUGCGUAGAUAUGCGGAGGAACACCGAUGGCGAAGGCAGCCUCCUGGGAUAACACUGACGCUCAUGCACGAAAGCGUGGGGAGCAAACAGG
rnacentral:rRNA from 1 species